rnacentral:tRNA from 1 species
GGCUCAAUGGCAGAGCAUCUGCUUGGCAUACAGAAGGUCCCAGGUUCAAUCCCUGGCACCUCCA